AACCGACACAGGUAGGCGAGGAGAGAAUCCUAAGGUGUGCGAGAGAACUCUCGUUAAGGAACUCGGCAAAAUGACCCCGUAACUUCGGGAGAAGGGGUGCUUUUUAGGGUGAAUAGCCCGGAAAAGCCGCAGUGAAUAGGCCCAGGCGACUGUUUAGCAAAAACACAGGUCUCUGCGAAGCCGCAAGGCGAAGUAUAGGGGCUGACACCUGCCCGGUGCUGGAAGGUUAAGGGGAGAGGUUAGCGCAAGCGAAGCUUUGAACCGAAGCCCCAGUAAACGGCGGCCGUAACUAUAACGGUCCUAAG
rnacentral:rRNA from 1 species